rnacentral:rRNA from 1 species
UACGAAGGGGGGCUAGCGUUGUUCGGAGUUACUGGGCGUAAAGGGCGCGUAGGCGGCGCACCAAGUCAGGCGUGAAAGCCCUGGGCUCAACCCGGGAAUUGCGCUUGAGACUGGUGUGCUUGAGUACGGGAGAGGAUAGUGGAAUUCCCAGUGUAGAGGUGAAAUUCGUAGAUAUUGGGAAGAACACCGGUGGCGAAGGCGGCUAUCUGGACCGUAACUGACGCUGAGGAGCGAAAGCGUGGGGAGCGAACAGG